rnacentral:rRNA from 1 species
UUUACUUUGAGUAAAUUAGAGUGUUUAAAGCAGCCUCUUUGGGCUUUGAAUAGCAUUAGCAUGGGAUAAUAGAAUAGGACUUUGGUUCUAUUUUGUUGGUUUUCAGAACCUGAGUAAUGAUUAAUAGGGACAGUUGGGGGCAUUUGUAUUUUGUUGUCAGAGGUGAAAUUCUUAGAUUUACGAAAGACAAACUAGUGCGAAAGCAUUUGCCAAGGAUGUUUUCAUUAAUCAAGAACGAAAGUUAGGGGAUCGAAGAUGAUUAGAUACCGUCGUAGUCCUAUACCAUAAACUAUGCCGACCAGGGAUUUGUGGACGUUUAUUUUCAAAAAUGACUCCAUGAGCACCUUGUGAGAAAUCAUAAGUCUUUGGGUUCCGGGGGGAGUAUGGUCGCAAGGCUGAAACUUAAAGGAAUUGACGGAGGGGCACCACCAGGCGUGGAGCUUGCGGCUUAAUUUGACAACACGGGGAAACUUACCAGGCCAAGACAUUUGAAGGAUUGACAGAUUGAGAGCUCUUUCUUGAUUAUAUGGGUGGUGGUGCAUGGCCGUUCUUAGUUGGUGGAGUGAUUUGUCUGGUUAAUUCCGUUAACGAACGAGACCUCAUCUUGCUAAAUAGACUAUUCAGUUUUUUAACUGUAAUACUGUCUUCUUAGAAGGACUUUUGGUUCACAAGCCAAAGGAAGUUUGAGGCGAUAACAGGUCUGUGAUGCCCUUAGAUGUUCUGGGCUGCACGCGUGCUACACUGAUAGAGCCAACGAGUUUACAACCUUGGCAGAUAUGUCUGGGUAAUCUUGCGAAACUCUAUCGUGCUGGGGAUAGAUGAUUGGAAUUAUUCAUCUUCAACGAGGAAUGCCUAGUAAGCGCAAUUCAUCAGAUUGCGUUGAUUACGUCCCUGCCCCUUGUACACACCGCCCGUCGCUACUACCGAUUGGAUGGUCCGGUGAAAUUCUCGAAUCGUGCUGUCACUUUGUGACUCUCGGGUUACAAAGCCAGUGUGAGAAGUUAAUUAAACCUUAUCAUCUAGAGGAAGUAAAAGUCG